rnacentral:rRNA from 1 species
UACAGAGGUGGCAAGCGUUGUUCGGAAUUACUGGGCGUAAAGGGCGCGUAGGCGGUCUUCUAAGUCUUGUGUGAAAUCCCUCGGCUCAACUGAGGAACUGCACGGGAUACUGGAAGACUUGAGUUCGGGAGAGGGAAGCGGAAUUCCGGGUGUAGCGGUGAAAUGCGUAGAUAUCUGGAGGAACACCGGUGGCGAAGGCGGCAUCCUGGACCGGCAUUGACGCUGAGGCGCGAAAGCCAGGGGAGCAAACGGG